GAUGGAAUCACCAGCUAGGCCUCCUGGAGCUCUUUCCUAUAAAUCUGACAUGAUGAGGGAAUCAUUAGCCAGAGAGAAACAGCAGGAUUAUUAACUUCAGCUGCACCUCAGACAGCACUGCGCAGAGAAUCCUUGCCAAAUAGCCUGAAGCUGAUGUUUCUUUGACAAGUGCAGGUUGGUGCUGAAAAAAAAAAUCUGAAAGUGACGAGACACCAAGUAGUAGGGGUAACACAGAAAAGAAGACACAGAAUGCAGGAAUUAAGCAUUUAUGGAAUGACCAGGAAAUGGGAAAAUAUUGGGAGUACCAAGAAAAAUAAGGUAAAUUCCUUUUUUUUUCAGGGCAAAAAAAAAAAAAAAAGAGUUUAUUUAGACGUAUGAUUCAAGAAGGCUAAGAGUCCACCCUGGCAGGAAAUAAUGGCAGCAGACAGCAGGUUGUACUUCCCAUAUCCAUAUCCCUACAGUGAUGCACCAAAAAGACUCAGGAUAAUUUAUUCUGGAUAUUAUCAGCGCUACAAUGGCUGGUUCCCAGAAAAAAAAAAAAAGCCAAAAGCUGCAGCCCAUGCUUCAAAAGAAAAAGAAAAUCUCUGCAGCUCCUGCAUUAUUCAGGAUACUAUUAAAAUGAGACUCACGACUCACAGGGCAAAUUAAUUUUAAUUUUUAAACAGGCAACAUUUUUAACUGUUCGUUUCCUUGAAAUGUAUCCAUCCUGGCAUUUUUAUCAUCUGAAAAGUAAGUAAAGCUUGCAGCAAGAAGAGAGGAAAAUAUUGGCAUGCUCCGAUUCUGGGACUCUAAUGGCUAAGAAGGAACCCGCCAGAGUGAGCAGAAGUCAAAUCAUCUAUUCUUAGAGGGAAUGUAUCCUGAAAACCCAACGUGGGUCUUAAAACAAUUCGGUGCUAAAAACCCACUUUCCCUCUGCUUUUGUCACACUGAUAGGGGGACAGCUGUCUGAAACCCUAGUCAGAACCUUCAGCCAUAGUACAUUAUCUCUGCAUCCCAUUUUCACUUUCUGACUCCAGGAAAACAGAAGCUAUAGCCUGUGCUUCUGACUCCCAAGCACACUGCUCUGUAACACAAAGCUGUCCUCAGCUCAGGGAAUAGGUUGUGGUUCUUUGCGUUCCCACCAUCAAACCUGCAGUGUCUCCAGUAAGACUUUACUCAUCUGAAUUUAUAAAGAAUUUUAUGGCUCCUGAAGUUGAAGUGUCCUUUGAAUAUCAGGGAAUAAAAUGAAUCCUUAUUGCUGCCUAUUCUUGGCCUUGGAAAUGUCUACAGUUCCUAAUGUUCCUUUUAUUCCGACUUUCAAAAGACUGAAGUGGCUACCAUGUAUAACCUGAGAUGGAAAAGACCAAGGCAGCCUUAGUGCAGGCCUACAAGUUCUAUCUCCACAGCCUGGAAGAACCAAGAAGGUUCUUGGAUAUACAUCUAAAUUACCUCUCUACCCUUGGCUUCCUGGCUUCCUAAGAAUCAUAAUACAAGGAAAAUAAAUGUUUUUUUUUUGAGUUCCCCACAAACUGCCACUUUCACAGUCUGUUUAUCUGUGUCCUGAUAUGGGAGGCAGAGUCUAAGAAGAAGAAAGGAACUGUCUCGUUCAGAGCCUCUCCCUGGUCUCUCUUCCCCUAUAGUAUUUCUGGACUCCCAGGUUUCCUUGCCACUGUGUAAAUAGAAAUCCCCAAUUCCUCUUCUGUCAGAAGCUCUCACACUCACCAAAGAUUCCACCUGUGUCACCACAAGACUCAUCCUCUCAAGUAGAGGCCCCAGUGGCCUGGGAAAUGUCCCCAUUCAUUCCUAUUCCACCCUUUCUUGUUCUUCACCUGAGACCCUGACAUUAUCUGACUCUGUCUACCAUUUCUCUAUUUUUUUAAUUCUUUAAUCAUUUUUUACAGGCCAGUCAUUAUCCCCCUCCCAGUCUGCCCUCUGAUUGUUCCUCAUCCCAUACCUCCUCCCCCUGUCCCCAAGAAGAUGACCCCAUCCCACCUACCCCCAC
rnacentral:lncRNA from 1 species